UGUUACAGUACGAGACCAGCACCAGGGUCCUGGAAAUGUUGCGGAUAAACAGGAAAUUCCAAAGAACAGUUACAUGAGUGUGGCUGCUGUAUGUGUGGUAGUAGGCACUCUUGCCAUUGGACUGCUGCUUCUCAAGCUGUUUCAAGCCAGAAGACUCAGACAAGACUGCAUCACAUCCAGCUGUGAUUGGUAGUCCCAUAGGGCAGCGCACAAUUGGCCCAGCGUCGUCCGGGAGCCUCAGGAUACAGCAGUCCCAGCAGAGCACAACCCCAGCACCAGGACAGGACCGUUUCCAUAGCGACAGAUGUAUUAUCAGGGGUGCCAUGGGCUCUCUUCCCUGUCGGUGUCAUGUCUGCUCUGUCUCUCACGUCGCAUCGCUAACUGAAUGUGAAUGCUUUGCCUGGAGGAGGGAGCAAUCUGGCUUAACACUAUUCUGUUCCCCCUCUGCAGGAGAAAUGGAGUGCACGCAUUGUCCUGCUACCAAGCUAAUUGUUAGCAGCAUUGUCUGUAGUUGUUAAUCACACCAGACUAUUCUUUCAUAAUUGUUUUAUAUAUUGUAACUGAAACCUGAUAUGAAACAAAUGCACAUAUUUAGUGGACAUUGACUUGAUAGUGAAGACACUAGUGUGAUACAGUAGCAGUGUGUGAAAUUGAUCUUGACAGAACACAUUUACUUUGUGCAUCACAAUUUGAAUAAGUCAUUUAUUCAGAAGCCAAUAUUGUGUUUUAGUUCAUUUGAGAGUUGCUAAUGUAAUGCCUUUAUUGUUUUGAAACUUCUAUGUGUGAUGUUUACUGUUAAUUUUUAUUGUUUAUACCUGUCUUUAUACCUGUGUUUAUACCUAUGUACCUGUGCCGAGCUCCAUCCCGUUUCUUUUUAUCCAGUAUUUGCCGACGUCAAGCAUACCCAUGAAUCAGCCACCUACAUGCUUGAAAAUAAGUGUUUUUUUGCAGCUGCUCUUCCAUGGGUCCAGGAACAUUAAGGCAGUUAUAUAUCAUUUAAAAAUAUUACAUGACAUUACACUUCAUAACACUUU